CUACGGGUCGCUCCAGUGGGGGAUAUUGCACAAUGGGCGAAAGCCUGAUGCAGCAACGCCGCGUGAAGGAUGACGGAUUUCGGUCUGUAAACUUCUAUCAGCAGGGAAGAAAAUGACGGUACCUGACUAAGAAGCCCCGGCUAACUACGUGCCAGCAGCCGCGGUAAUACGUAGGGGGCAAGCGUUAUCCGGAAUUACUGGGUGUAAAGGGUGCGUAGGCGGCUGAUCAAGUCAGAUGUGAAAGCCCGGAGCUCAACUCCGGGAUUGCAUUUGAAACUGGUCGGCUAGAGUGCAGGAGGGGGAAGUGGAAUUCCUAGUGUAGCGGUGAAAUGCGUAGAUAUUAGGAAGAACACCAGUGGCGAAGGCGGCUUUCUGGACUGUAACUGACGCUGAGGUACGAAAGCGUGGGGAGCGAACAGGAUUAGAUACCCCGGUAGUC
rnacentral:rRNA from 1 species